rnacentral:rRNA from 1 species
AACUGCGAAUGGCUCAUUAAAUCAUAUGUGAUUUCUUAGAUCGUACUGUCCGUAAUGGACUAAGGAUAACUGUGGUAAUUCUAGAGCUAAUACAUGCACUCAGUUCUGACCCUAGGCGAAGAACGCUCAUAUUAGACCAAGACCUACCGUUGGGGCAACCCUUCGUAGACUAGGUGACUCUGCACAUUAAUCAGUCAAU